GUCUGAGAAAUUGCAGACACACUGUGUCUAAAAACAGAUACAGAGAAGAUUAGCAUGGUCCCUUGUGCAAAGAUGACACGCAUAAUAGUGAAGCAUAUCCAAUCUUU